rnacentral:rRNA from 1 species
AAGCGCUGCCGGCGUGCCUAAUACAUGCAAGUCGAGCGGACUGAUUCGGGGCUUGCUCCGAUGAGGUCAGCGGAGGACGGGUGAGUAACACGUGGGAACCUGCCUGAUCGUCUGGGAUAACGCUUGGAAACGAGUGCUAAUACCGGAUAAUCUCUUGGAUCGCAUGGUUCGAGAGUAAAAGGAGCUUUUGCUCCACGAUCCGAUGGACCCGCGGCGCAUUAGCUAGUUGGUGAGGUAACGGCUCACCAAGGCGACGAUGCGUAGCCGACCUGAGAGGGUGACCGGCCACACUGGGACUGAGACACGGCCCAGACUCCUACGGGAGGCAGCAGUAGGGAAUCUUCCGCAAUGGGUGAACAGCCUGACUGGAGCAAGCGACUCGCGUGAGUGAUGCAAGCGCAUUCGGGUUGUAAAACUCUGUCCUCUAGUGAAGAACCAUCCUGUGCAGAGAACAGCUCAGGACCUGUACGGUAACAGAGGGAGAAAGUCCCCGGCUAGACUACGG